CUGAGAAUCAAACAGAAACGGAAACAAAAUCAUUUCAUCACUCUAAAACCGUCUGCUAAUCUCCCAUUUGUUAAAAUUUUUGUUGGCUUAAUUUUAGUAUGGUCCUCCAAGCCUGAAGAGUGGUUUUAUCCUUGUCUUUCAUCUGCUAAAAUAUCUAUCCUCGGAUAGAAAUGUUUUUGCUAUUCCCUGAUUUGGAUACAAGGCGGCAAAAUCUUAAUAAACUCCAGCCAUAAUAUGGGAUAUCUGUAUUCGGUUUUGCAAUCUUCAAGCCAGGUUCACGAAUAUCGACUUUUCUGUGGCGGAGGCCUUAGUCAGAAUGGAAAGUUCAGCUAUGGCUAUGCAAGCUCUCCAGGGAAGAGGUCUUCAAUGGAAUAUUUUUACGAAACAA